rnacentral:rRNA from 1 species
UACGGAGGGGACUAGCGUUGUUCGGAAUUACUGGGCGUAAAGCGCACGUAGGCGGAUUUGUAAGUCAGGGGUGAAAUCCCGGGGCUCAACCUCGGAACUGCCUUUGAUACUGCAAAUCUCGAGUCCGGAAGAGGUGAGUGGAACUGCGAGUGUAGAGGUGAAAUUCGUAGAUAUUCGGAAGAACACCAGUGGCGAAGGCGGCUCACUGGACCGGUAUUGACGCUGAGGUGCGAAAGCGUGGGAAGCAAACAGG